AAUUUAAAGUUCCGUAUUCUCCAUAUUGAAUACGGAACUUAAAAUUCCGUACUGUAUUUAAGUAUGCGUGUCACAUUUUCAACCAUUCAUUAUAUACUAAAAUAGAUACGGAAUUUUAUUUUCCGUAUUGAUAUGGAAAUUUAAAUUCCGUAUCUGUUUUAGUGGGGUGCAAAGCCUAAGGGGUGGGGCUCCAAACCCAACUCCCGGCAUAAGACCAUGACUCUGGUGGGUACUAUAGGCUUUUCACACACAUUAGGUUAUCUAGUCACGAGUUGCGUUUAGCAAAUAUGUUUGGGGACUUUAUUUUUUUCAUCAUAAGAUUUUCCCAAGUUAUGAAGCGGAACCGAGUUGGUUGCGUUUUCAUCAAUUGGUAACCACUCUAAUCGUGGUCGUUUCCUAGUGAUCGACAAAGUCAAACGGUGGGGGGCGAACUUUGGCAGUAAGAUUUUCCAAGCGUAUGCGACAUGUUGUCCUUGCGCAUCCUCUGGUUUCUCGGUUUAAGGAGUAAGUGGUUUUACCCUUGGCUCUUGGUGGUGUUGCCACCGGUGUUGUACAAUUGGCAUCAUGCAUAUACAAGUGUCAUUUACUAGGUACCGAAAUUGUACUCCUCUAACUCUUGGCAUCAUCGAGAGCUAAUGGCAAGAGGUUUUGUAGUUGUGAUGUGAUUAGAAGCCUCAGAAAAGAGAAAAUGAGAAGAGAGUGACUUCAUCGGUUACAAAGGCGAUGAUGUAAAGGACUUCAACGACAUUCAACGAUGCAAACUCUAGAGUAUGUUACAUGUUUCAAGUGUUACGGUUGAUUCUAUAAUGCCAUACCCAAAUUCUAGGUGUUUUUGAUGUUUUUGUUACAAUUCAUUCUAGCUUCAAAAUCAAC